rnacentral:rRNA from 1 species
CGGGAUGAGCUCAAAUUUGAAAUCUGGCUGGUUUACUAGUCCGAGUUGUAAUUUAAAGAAGCGUUUUCGGUGGCAGCCUGGGUAUAAAUCCUUUGGAAUAGGGUAUCAUAGAGGGUGAGAAUCCCGUCUUUGAC